UACUAAAGUUGUUGCGGUUAAAAAGCUCGUAGUUGAAAUUGUGUCCUGCGGUGUCGGUCUACCGAAUGCGGUACGACAGGCACGUCUGCGGGGCUUCUCGCCGGUGCGUCCACCGCCGGCGUGUGUCGGUCGGCCUCACGGUCGGCCGCGCACCGAGGCGGGCCGUCGCGGCUGUUUACUUUGAACAAAUUAGAGUGCUCAAAGCGGGCUAACACUUGCCUGAAUAUUGUACGCAUGGAAUAAUAGAAUAGGACCUCGGUUCUGUUUUGUUGGCUUUCUGAUACCAGAGGUAAUGAUUAAUAGGGACAACUGGGGGCAUUCGUAUUGCGACGUUAGAGGUGAAAUUCYUGGAUCGUCGCAAGACGGACUAAAGCSAAAGCAUUUGCCAAAGGUGUUUUCAUUAAUCAAGAACGAAAGUUAGAGGUUCGAAGGCGAUUAGAUACCGCUGUAGUUCUAACCAUAAAUGAUGCCAGCCAGCGAUCCGCCGAAGUUUCAUAAUUUUAACUCGGUGGGCAGCUCCCGG
rnacentral:rRNA from 1 species